GUAUUCACUUUGGCAGCACGUAUACUGAAAUUGGAACCACACAGAGCACUUUAGCAUGGCUCUUGCGCAAGAAUGACAAGCAUAUUCAUGAGGCUGAGGCAUUCCAC